rnacentral:rRNA from 1 species
AGGACGAACGCUGGCGGCGUGCUUAACACAUGCAAGUCGAGCGGAAAGGCCCUUCGGGGUACUCGAGCGGCGAACGGGUGAGUAACACGUGAGUAAUCUGCCCCUAGCUCUGGGAUAGCUCCGGGAAACCGGGAUUAAUACCGGAUACGACCACUUUAGACAUCUGUUGUGGUGGAAAGAAUUUUGGCUAGGGAUGAGCUCGCGGCCUAUCAGCUUGUUGGUGGGUAACGGCUACCAAGGCGACGACGGGUA